CCAAGAAUCUUCCGCAAUGGGGGAAACCCUGACGGAGCGACGCCGCGUGAAGGAAGAAGGUCUUCGGAUUGUAAACUUCUUUUCUAAGGGAAGAAUAAGGAGCGAGGAAAUGCGUCUCCGAUGACGGUACCUUAGGAAUAAGCCCCGGCUAAUUACGUGCCAGCAGCCGCGGUAAUACGUAAGGGGCGAGCGUUGCUCGGAAUUACUGGGCGUAAAGGGCGUGUAGGCGGUCCUGCAAGUCGAAUGUAAAAAACUACGGCUCAACCGUGGGAAUGCGUUCGAAACUGCAGGGCUUGAGUCUGGUGGAGGGUAAUGGAAUUCCCGGUGUAGCGGUGAAAUGCGUAGAUAUCGGGAAGAACACCGAAGGCUAAAGCAGUUAUCUAUGCCAAGACUGACGCUGAGGCGCGAAAGCAUGGGGAUCAAACAGG
rnacentral:rRNA from 1 species